rnacentral:rRNA from 1 species
GACGAACGCUGGCGGCGCGCCUAACACAUGCAAGUCGAACGAGCGAGAGAGAGCUUGCUUUCUUGAGCGAGUGGCGAACGGGUGAGUAACGCGUGAGGAACCUGCCUCAAAGAGGGGGACAACAGUUGGAAACGACUGCUAAUACCGCAUAAGCCCACGACCCGGCAUCGGGUUGAGGGAAAAGGAGCAAUCCGCUUUGAGAUGGCCUCGCGUCCGAUUAGCUAGUUGGUGAGGUAACGGCCCACCAAGGCGACGAUCGGUAGCCGGACUGAGAGGUUGAAAGGACAAAUUGGGAAUGGGACACGGCCCAGACCCCUAGGGGAGGCAGGAGGGGGGAAAAGUGCAAAAUGGGGGAAAACCUGAUGCAGCGACGCCGGGGGGAGGAAGAAGGUCUUCGGAUUGUAAACCCCUGUUGUUGAGGAAGAAAAUGACGGUACUAAACAAGGAAGGGACGGCUAACUACGU